UACGGGGGGGGCAAGCGUUGUUCGGAAUUACUGGGCGUAAAGGGCUCGUAGGCGGCCAACUAAGUCGGACGUGAAAUCCCCAGGCUCAACUUGGGAACUGCGUCCGAUACUGGAUGGCUUGAAUUCGGGAGAGGGAUGCAGAAUUCCAGGUGUAGCGGUGAAAUGCGUAGAUAUCUGGAGGAAUACCGGUGGCGAAGGCGGCAUCCUGGACCGAGAUUGACACUGAUGAGCGAAAGCCAGGGGAGCAAACGGG
rnacentral:rRNA from 1 species